rnacentral:miRNA from 14 species
UUGGUAGCCUGGGCAGCAGCGGGGCAGACAUGGAGCUGCUGGCUGGGACUGGCCUGUG